rnacentral:rRNA from 1 species
UACGGGAAGGGGCAGCGUUGUUCGGAAUUACUGGGCGUAAAGAGCGUGUAGGCGGCCAGGUAGGUCUGCUGUGAAAACUCGAGGCUCAACCUCGAGACGUCGGCGGAAACCAUCUGGCUAGAGUCCGGAAGAGGAGAGUGGAAUUCCUGGUGUAGCGGUGAAAUGCGCAGAUAUCAGGAAGAACACCCGUGGCGAAGGCGGCUCUCUGGGACGGUACUGACGCUGAGACGCGAAAGCGUGGGGAGCGAACAGG